rnacentral:rRNA from 1 species
CCUACGGGAGGCAGCAGUAGGGAAUCUUCCGCAAUGGACGAAAGUCUGACGGAGCAACGCCGCGUGAGUGAUGAAGGCUUUCGGGUCGUAAAACUCUGUUGUUAGGGAAGAACAAGUACAAGAGUAACUGCUUGUACCUUGACGGUCCCUAACCAGAAAGCCACGGCUAACUACGUGCCAGCAGCCGCGGUAAUACGUAGGUGGCAAGCGUUAUCCGGAAUUAUUGGGCGUAAAGCGCGCGCAGGCGGUUUCUUAAGUCUGAUGUGAAAGCCCACGGCUCAACCGUGGAGGGUCAUUGGAAACUGGGGAACUUGAGUGCAGAAGAGAAAAGCGGAAUUCCACGUGUAGCGGUGAAAUGCGUAGAGAUGUGGAGGAACACCAGUGGCGAAGGCGGCUUUUUGGUCUGUAACUGACGCUGAGGCGCGAAAGCGUGGGGAGCAAACAGGAUUAGAUACCCUGGUAGUCCACGCCGUAAACGAUGAGUGCUAAGUGUUAGAGGGUUUCCGCCCUUUAGUGCUGCAGCUAACGCAUUAAGCACUCCGCCUGGGGAGUACGGUCGCAAGACUGAAACUCAAAUGAAUUGACGGGG